GACGAACGCUGGCGGCGUGCUUAACACAUGCAAGUCGAACGGAAAGGCCCUGCUUUUGUGGGGUGCUCGAGUGGCGAACGGGUGAGUAACACGUGAGUAACCUGCCCUUGACUUUGGGAUAACUUCAGGAAACUGGGGCUAAUACCGGAUAGGAGCUCCUGCUGCAUGGUGGGGGUUGGAAAGUUUCGGCGGUUGGGGAUGGACUCGCGGCUUAUCAGCUUGUUGGUGGGGUAGUGGCUUACCAAGGCUUUGACGGGUAGCCGGCCUGAGAGGGUGACCGGCCACAUUGGGACUGAGAUACGGCCCAGACGCCUACUGGAGGCAGCAGUGGGGAAUAUUGCACAAUGGGCGGAAGCCUGAGGCAGCAACGCCGCGUGCGGGAUGACGGCCUUCGGGUUGUAAACCACUUUCGCCUGUGACGAAGCGUGAGUGACGGUAAUGUAUAAAGAAGCACCGGCUAACUACGUG
rnacentral:rRNA from 1 species